CUGUUAAGGAACAUGGUUACCUUUGGAAUCGGACUGUAGCUUGCAAGAGUCAAAUUGGCAUUUCUAGAGACCUAAGCUCUACUGUUACCUACUUAGUGAAGAAAAUACGUUUUUAAGCUAAUGCUUAUGAGUGUUUACUGUGUGCCAAGCAAGCAUAACUCUUAAAUUGCCUUUCCAUAUUGUGUAAUCUUUUCAACACUUCUUUACUCUCGACCUGCUGCUGUGGGAUUUGAAAGGAGUAUUUAUUGUGCCUUAUAUCUAUUGAGGCUCUCCUUGUUUUUUAAAUGGAUAUGUGUUCAUCCCUAUUUUGUUCAAGAGUUUUUAAACUACACCCGUCCCCAAACCUUUCUCCAGUGCUAUGCAGUAGAUACAAUUAUCAUCAUAUAUUGUAAUGAAAAAAAUGAAGCUCAGAGACAGGACAUUAGGACGCUCCCAGGUAGUCUAGUUCCUCUAGGCCACACUUUCACCUUUGUGUUGAUCUGCAUGGAAGUUAGGUAGAUGCCUAGGUUUCUUACCCUAAUAAGGUUUUUAGUAUGCUUAGAUUUUGAUAUCUCUUAGAAGAUAGAACAGUUCAGUUGAAUGCCAUUGACCGGCAAACCAGCAACAAUAUCACAUCCUGUUUCUGAUUUAAGUAUCAAAUGAAAUCAAAUCUUUAUCUAGUCAGUGAAGUUAGGACUAGGUAUUUAGCAUAGACGAUUAUAUCUUAAUAAGAAACAGGCACAGAGCUAAUUGCUUCUCAAACUGAACAGACACCGUUUUAUUUCAGAUUACUGUGUAUAAAAAAACAGUUAAGAGUAACAUAUCCAUGCUUCAAACUUUGAACUAAAUGAAGUUUCUUCCUGUUGGUUCAUGUUUUUAAGUGUUUCUUACUGUGUUUUUGUCACUUUUUAAAAAAACUUGGUUGGCCUAUCUAUACAGAUAUAAUCCUAUAUGAAUAUUUUAUAAACCAGAGUUUUUGAACAAUUCUCUUGGGCCAAGUUGUGACUAGUUAGUUCAUUAUUUAAAAUACUUGGUUCAUAGGUUGGGUCUCUACUGAGCACUUUGUUCUGUUUUAUGGUGUGAAGUUCCUCUGUCAUCUAAUAAAUGUAGGUGUGGUGACACUAGUGUGCAUGUGUGUGCACUUUGUUACAUUUGGGACAUGAUUAGAAGACUUGACUUGGACUCUUGAGUGUGUUCUCCACAUUGAUAAAAACUGUUGAUAAAAUCAACUUAGAAACAUUUGUCUUUUGUUAAAAAUAAAUAAAUAAAAACCUAUAGUAAAGGCACAGAGUUUGGCCACUUAGUCCCCUCUCAGCCCUUAGCUCUGAUGAGUAGCUAAGCUUCCCUGCCUAAGAAGUUUAGGAACAAAAGCAGCCACGUGGUCCUGUCUUCAUCCUCAUCACCCUGGAAGUGAACAGGUCGCCUUUGCAGUCUUGUGAAGGUAAUGUGUGUAGCUUGUACACACCAAUGGCCAUUCUUUUCCUGUACCCACCAGAGCAGCUUCAUCUCCAUAGACAUGAGUGAAUUCUUGGCCACACUCUAGUUAUAUGUUGAACCUACUGGAAUAGAUGUGUUUCCACAUAGCCUUUAAAAAUUAGCAGGUACUUUAUCUCCAUAACCACACUGACUACAUCUUACCUACAAGGGACCAUACUGGGUGACUUCAUCAUAGUUGACAACAUCAACCACAGAAACUGCAAUUGAACAUGUGAUGCCUAGAUCCACUUGCAAACCACCCCCAACUAGGAGAGAUGCAUCUUAGCAGGUAGGAUAAUCCCACUCAUACACUGUGGUCUAGGCUACUGAGUCACCCAUAGGUUAACAAGUACUGGUUAACAUAAACACUUAACUACUGGGCCUCCCUGGAUCCAAAGCCAGAAUAGCCUGCCCAACACAGCCAAGGCACAUCUUUAGGGAAAAAAAAUACCUCUACUGCCUGUAAAAUUGGUAGAACCAAUUUAAUGUACAUAUUUACACACACACACACACACACACACACACACACAAAGACAUGAAGAAGGUAACAUUACUGCCCAAAGAAAUCAGCCAAAGGUCUCGAUUUCAAGGAAAAGGAAAUACACCAGUUACCUUUUUAAAAGUUUAGUUGUUUAAAUAAUAACUAUAAUCAAGAAAAUGCAAACAGCUCAGUGAAGUUAGGAAAAUACCUUUUGUUUUAAAUAAAGAACCCAGAAAGGAUAUACAUUAUAAAAAUACACAAAAUUUGGAGCUAAAGAACUUGGCAAAUGAAAAUUUAAAAUCAAGCUUUAACAAACUAGAUCAAGCAAAGCAAAAGCCGCUGAUUCCAAAUUUCUUGAACUUAAAGUAAUAAGUGUUUAAAAAUAACUCAGAUCAAAAGAGUAAAAAAAGAUCCAAGACUUACAAAUAAGACUUAACUUUAAGAAAAUGAUUGUGUUACGGGUAUUCUGUAAUAGAAGGGAAAGGGACAUAUAAAAAUGAAUUCAGCAAAAUAGCAGUUGAACAUUUUUCAAAUCUUGAAUUAAUCUCAGAGACCUCUAAUAGAGUCACUCAAGGAAGGUCUUCUCAUGCUGAUCGGUGGUGGCACUCAGGAGGCAGAGGCAGGUGGAUCUCUGAGUUCAACGCUACCUUAGUCUACAGAGCAAAAACAAAAUCAUUACAUAAAUAGAAAUGCUCAGUGGCAACAUGAAUAUAUUACUCUGUAAAGUGCUAGCAUUGAAAGAGAAAAUGCCUUUCCAAGACAUGAAAAACCAGAGAGUCCACUUCUAUCAGGCCACACCAGCUCUACAAUGCUAAGAGAUUCCUUUCCUAGAAUCAAACGAACUAUCCCUCACCCAAAAGCAAAAAGAACAAAAACCUGCAAUUAAAUUCUACCAAUACAGAAAAACAAGCUAUCCAAGAGGGAGGAGGGAAACUACCACCUAGAAAGCAAACUCCAAAUUUAACAAAGUAACAAGAAUACAUGUUAGCAAUACUAAUACCAUAAAUGUUUAGUAUGGCAAAACGGAUUUAAGGGCAAAAAUCUCAAGAUAUUAGCUUAUUUAUAAGGACACACAAUAGACCAAAAAUUAAGGAAUGAAGAAAAUAAAUGAAAAGCAUCAGAAAGUUAUUAUAAGUAAAAUGGAUUUUACUUAUAGUUAAGAGACAACAAAGGUAACCUUAAUUAUUAUAAAGGGAUCGAUUGAACAGGUGAAUCGUUGCAAACAUGUAUAAAUCCCAAGCAGUAGAACUGCUAAAUAAACCAAAUGUUGGCGUAAAGAGUACUUAAUAAAGUAAUGUUUGAGAGUUCCAGUUUCCCACGUUGAUCUCUGGACAAUCAGAUAGAAAAUCAAAGAAACAUUGGCAAUAUACUAUAUUAUAAGACAAAUGACUCUAAUAGACUUUUAUAUAUAAUUUUAUCAUGCAGUGAACUGUAGAGUGUCUUCAGUACAAGAAACACUUCUUCAGGAUAGACCAUGCUUAUAUUAGGCCACAAAACACAUUCCAACAAAUUUCAAACUGAAGUCAUCAGAUCACCAUGUGAAUGAAGUUAGUUAUCAACAGUAUGCCAUUGAACGAUUAAUGGGUCAACGGAGUGACAAUGUAAAACAUGAAGAUGGAAAUAACAACAUACACAGGAGAAGUAAUGCUGAGAGAGAAGUUAGUAACAUUAAAUGCCUACAUUGAAGAAAGAGUUCACAUAACCAGAUGAUGUCCUCAGGUAUCUAGCAAAACAAGAAUAGAUCACACUUAAAAUUAUAAAGGAAGAAAUAACAAGUGUCAGAAAUAACAACUGGACCCUAAAAGGUCAAUAUAACAGCUCAGUUGAACAGCUGAUUUGUGAAAGCAUGUGUAUUGAAUGGAUAAAUCAUUAGAUUUAUCAGGAAAAGGAGACUCAAAAUUAAUACAACAGAAGUACAAAGAGUUAGAAAUACUUGUAUUUUUAAGCUAUUCUAUGCUAAUGAAUGGGAAAACCUCCAAGUAAGUUUUGUGGACAUGUGUCCACAAAUUGAAGCAUGCAGACAGAAAAUUU
rnacentral:sRNA from 1 species